rnacentral:rRNA from 1 species
UGGGGAAUAUUGCACAAUGGGGGGAAACCCUGAUGCAGCGACGCCGCGUGAGCGAAGAAGUAUUUCGGUAUGUAAAGCUCUAUCAGCAGGGAAGAAAAUGACGGUACCUGACUAAGAAGCCCCGGCUAACUACGUGCCAGCAGCCGCGGUAAUACGUAGGGGGCAAGCGUUAUCCGGAUUUACUGGGUGUAAAGGGAGCGUAGACGGCUGCUGCAAGUCUGGAGUGAAAACCCGGGGCUCAACCCCGGGACUGCUUUGGAAACUGCAGAGCUUGAGUACCGGAGGGGUAAGCGGAAUUCCUAGUGUAGCGGUGAAAUGCGUAGAUAUUAGGAGGAACACCAGUGGCGAAGGCGGCUUACUGGACG